rnacentral:lncRNA from 1 species
AGUACCUAUGAUGUAUAUUUGAUAUCUAUUAUUUGUUUAUAUUAUAAAUGAAAGUUUUAAUUGAUUGAAUUAUCUCUGCCCAUUUCCUCCAGCCCAAGUUUGUGGCAGCCAACAUUCAACUUUCUAGUACUCUGCGUUCAAAUUUUUGAAAUUCCACUUUGUAUAUGCUUCUAAAAGUGUUUUAUAUGGUAUGAAAUGAUGAUUCAUAUCUUCAGCAAAAAUCAGUAAGGUAUACUUUCAAAUUUUACCUUAAGUAUUUUAUUUUAUUUUCCGGGCUGCAGCAAAAUAACAGGGGGGUGAUGAACAACUUGUGUAUGUUGAUACAGCAGGAGUGGAAGCCCUUUAUUGCAGGACAGGAGCAGUAUUUAUACAUUCCACACAGCUUAUCUAAUUAGCAUAAACUAGAUACAGCAGUCAACCAAUCAGGAAUCUCCACACUUAAUGGCUCGCUUUUGUUACUUCACAAACCACUCCCUCUGGCAUUUUGCCAGGCAUCAUCCAGACUUGUUUACAAACUCUAACAUUCCCCUGGCAAAAUGCCAGGUGUUAUUUUGACUUGUUUACAGACUCUAACAAUUUUAUUUUCCAAUCAGCAAAACUUAAAAGAAUAUGCUACUUGGUAAUGAGACUAACAGGUCAUCCACUGCUUAGUUUCUAAUUUUAUUUUUGAUGAUUUUGCUGUUGGAAGCUAUUUUAUUGAAAAGAAGAUUUUGUGUAAGACAGAUUCUUGUUAUACUUUGCCAAAAAUACCAUAUAAUUAAGAAAAGUGAAGUGUCUUUUUAAAUUUUCU